UAAAUACAAAUAACUACGCCUGGAUGUAAAAAAAAAAAAAAAGUCUAUGGUAAUAUCAAGAGUAUACAAUACUUACGUGAAAUAUGUUAAGCACUUUUUAUGUUAACAGUGAUUUCUACCUGCUUGGUCUUGGAUUUUAGUCAUUUAAAGGGCUAAACAUAGGUCCUGUACCACAGUAAUCAGCUGGUAUGUCAUAGCACUUUCUUCCUGAGGCAGUAAUAGAAUCACCAAAGAAAUCCAAUGGUUAUUUUAAAGACACUCCUUUUAAAAUUACUAUUUGUUAAUUUACACACACACAUACAAAUAAGACAUGAGAAGGUUUUUUUCCCCCCAAAACGCCUUGGCAAGGAAAUGGCACUUAAGCCACAAUAAUUAACAGUGGGUCUUGUUUGUCAAAACCAUUUGUGUCAAGGAUUCCUACUUCUUAACACAAAUGAUCAAGCAGUAGAAAGCAACCCAUGCAGAAAUAGUCCACUUUGAAACCUGUCCUUAGGCUUUUCAUCUACAAAAAUAUCUUAACUACCACCUUGAACCUCAGGGCCCUAACUAACCUCAGCUAUUAUUGGAUGACUCAAGACAUCGCACAUACGGCACCCGAACGAGAUACAAUUUACAGAAGUCAUGACAUUAAUGUUUAUGGUAUUGAAUUAAGCAGCCCAGUGAUAUAACAAGAAAACAAGAAUUUUUACAAAUAGAAAUACAGUAAAUUUUAAAAUAAAUAACAGAAGCCCUAGUCAAGGUAGAAAGCAGAACUUGUUCUCAGUGCUGCAUGUAAAGUUUUACCGUCUCAAAGAUGCAGAAGGUUGGUAUAUGGGCAAUCGUUCCCAUUUUUCUUAUUGACUGGUGGGACGAGUCUAUGCAUGAGUAUAUACAGUUGUAUUACAAAACAAAAUAUCAAACGCUCCUCCAAAGAGUAUUCGUGUGUGUGUACAGUAACAAUGCCCUUAAAGCAUUUAAAGCCAUAUAUGAUUUUCUUAAAUUUGACUACCUUUUUGAGGAAGUUUUUUAACAAGUAACUACUGUGUGAGAUCAAUGGUAAUAGAAAAUUUGGGAGGGGAAGAAGAUAUUGAGAAGACAUACCUGUAGAAAAAUUGGGAUGCAGUCACUGGAAUUUUCAUCAAGAUUUGCUGCACACUGACUUUAAUUGGAAAGGGAAUUAUUUUUAAGUCUGUGUGCAUUAGAUUCUUUUAUUUCCAACAGACCCUGGUCACCAAUAUCUAAAGAAAGGCAGAAGACGACCUGAGAAAUAUGUAUUUGGCCUUAAAAGCAGGCGGAAAUGCUACCUCUAGUUUUAACCAUUAUACUUUGAAACCCACAAAUAGAGUGAAUUCUCCCGGUUGCAUGGACAAAGAAAGUUCUUUGAAAACAUCCAGGAUAGGCGCAGAUGAGCCGCAGCCAGUGCGACAAAGAACCUGCUGAUGGCAACUGUAAACGAAGAUUCUCACAGGAAGCGUGCAGGUUCCUCACUUACACAGACUCACGUAACCCCGCAAGAGUGCUUCCCUGCUCCCUUCUCCAGUUAAAGGUCUCCUGUGUGCUCUUACCUUUCAGUUACAAGUCUUUGAUCCCAGAGUGCUCCAUUUUCAGUUGCCUUAUCUGUCCUUUGCUAACCACCUAUGGUCAUUAGCACUCAAAGCACAAUUUGGAAGGGGAUAAAAACGAUCCUAGUUCCAAAGGAAUAAUUUGUGUCAAAUUGCCUUAUUAGUAUUAAAAAUAGACAUACUGCUGAAUGAAUGAGCUAGCAUGACACAUGUAUCCUACUUAAUAUCAUUGCCAUUUUAUGAGAUGAGGG